rnacentral:rRNA from 1 species
CCUACGGGAGGCAGCAGUGGGGAAUUUUGGACAAUGGGCGCAAGCCUGAUCCAGCAAUGCCGCGUGCAGGAUGAAGGCCUUCGGGUUGUAAACUGCUUUUGUACGGAACGAAACGGUGAGCUCUAAUACAGUUUGCUAAUGACGGUACCGUAAGAAUAAGCACCGGCUAACUACGUGCCAGCAGCCGCGGUAAUACGUAGGGUGCGAGCGUUAAUCGGAAUUACUGGGCGUAAAGCGUGCGCAGGCGGUGAUGUAAGACAGAUGUGAAAUGCCCGGGCUCAACCUGGGACCUGCAUUUGUGACUGCAUCGCUAGAGUACGGUAGAGGGGGAUGGAAUUCCGCGUGUAGCAGUGAAAUGCGUAGAUAUGCGGAGGAACACCGAUGGCGAAGGCAAUCCCCUGGACCUGUACUGACGCUCAUGCACGAAAGCGUGGGGAGCAAACAGGAUUAGAUACCCUGGUAGUCCACGCCCUAAACGAUGUCAACUGGUUGUUGGGUCUUCACUGACUCAGUAACGAAGCUAACGCGUGAAGUUGACCGCCUUGGGGGAGGUACGGCCGGCGAGGUUAGACGUUACAAGAGAGUUAGACGGCGUUGGAGACGUUGCCGACGGACGACGACGGAGGGGAGGUAGG